UACAGAGGGUGCGAGCGUUACUCGGAAUUACUGGGCGUAAAGCGUGCGCAGGCGGUUUCUUAAGUCAGAUGUGAAAGCCCCGGGCUUAACCUGGGAACUGCGUUUGAAACUGGGAGACUUGAGUGUGGCAGAGGGGGGUGGAAUUCCACGUGUAGCAGUGAAAUGCGUAGAUAUGUGGAGGAACACCGAUGGCGAAGGCAGCCCCCUGGGUUAACACUGACGCUCAUGCACG
rnacentral:rRNA from 1 species